UUGGCCUAGUUGGAUCAGAGUCUACCUUGA
rnacentral:piRNA from 1 species